UAUUCAUCAUUAUGUUAAAAAAAAUACAGUUUUAAAGUUUUCAAAAUUGGCAUUCUGUUAGCUUUUUGGACUAUUUUGGCUUUUACUAGUGUAGGAUAGAGGAAUAAAUAUGGACAAAUGGACAAAUUAAUUAAGCUACCCCCCUCUGUUCUAUAAUGUUAUGUUUAUUUUUGAUAUGUAUUUUUUUUAAAUAAGUAAUUCUCCAACACCUAAAACACAGCACUCAGUAUGCAGAGUGUAAUAUUCUGUCUCGCCACAAGAGGGAGUUCCCCUAGAUUGAGCAGGGCAGGGGAGCUAAGUUUAACCUGGCCUGCCAUUGAAUGAAACAUCGGCGAGAUGACGAGACAGAAGUGUAAUGCGUGCUGUGUUCAUGUUCCAGGUGGCCGUACGAGCCUCAAGGAAACUGUGAGACACAUCUGCUCUCCACCUAAAUUCUGACCCUCCCCUCCACGGACCCUGACAACCCAAAAUCUGCAGCAUCCAUGAAGACUGGACUCCUCCAUUUAUCUCUAGGCAAGUGCGUGGAUCUGAGUUUCCGACACCCAGAUCUGGUGUCUUGGCUUUCCACUCUACAGGAAUGCUGAAUAUCCGUUUGUGGGGGAAGCUGAAAGAUUAAUGAUCACAGUGACAUUGUGGUUCAACCAGUUGAAGAACAACGGUGCGUCCAAAUAGCCAAUACCAAUGGACGCAACGUUAGACCUCGUUGGUUUCACGAGCCAAGAUCUCAGCCACCUGAGAGUUGGAGGAAUUGAUUGGAGCAGAGAUCCUUCUUUCUGGUGGAAAAUAUCAGAUUCUGCAGCGUUGUGUCAACUCCCAGCAUGCAACAGGUGGUGCAGCUGCAGCAGCAGUGCUGCAUUGUGGAUGCGGCGGCGCUGCCCACACUGAUGGAUGUGUUGUGUCUAUUGUAUUCUAUAACCCUGUUAGAGGACCUAAUUUGCCUCAGGCAGCGAGCCUCAGAGGAGGAGCGGUAAAUCCAGCCGCCAGCAGUCAGACUGAUAAUGAAAACCUCCAGCUUUUCACUGCUGGUCCGUUUCUCUUUCUUUUUUUGGUUUUCUUUUUUAGGAAAUUAGCUGCCGUGUAAUUUUACAACAAUAUCUCCAAUAUGAAUCCAUAUUCUGCUGGACUUUUGGGAGGCAAACCAAAACCAUAAAACUGAAUUUUAUCUUAAUGGCAUUUUUUUCAGGGUAACGUGACACCUUUGCUUGCUGCGUGGAGUUAUUUCUUUUUUAAUUCUUUUUUUUUUCUUUUUUUGCUCCUUAUUCUUCAUGUUUCAGCAGAUCUUUUGUAAAGAAUGUAGUGACUCAGUGACCUUUUCCUGGAAGAUAUGACCUCAUGCUGGCAGUGAUGCUCCACACAGUUUCAAACUUGUUCUUAGUGACAAAAUAAAUCCUCAAAAUACGA